UACGUAGGGGGCUAGCGUUGUCCGGAAUCAUUGGGCGUAAAGCGCGUGUAGGCGGCUUGGUAAGUCUGCUCUGAAAAGCCCCGGGGCUCAACCCCGGGGAGGCGGGUGGAUACUGCGUGGCUCGAGUCCGGAAGAGGCGAGUGGAAUUCCCGGUGUAGCGGUGAAAUGCGCAGAUAUCGGGGAGGAACACCAAUGGCGAAGGCGAG
rnacentral:rRNA from 1 species